rnacentral:rRNA from 1 species
UGCGUAGGCGGUGCGGUAAGUCUUUUGUGAAAUCUCCGGGCUCAACUCGGAGUCUGCAGGAGAAACUGCCGUGCCUGAGUAUGGGAGAGGUGAGUGGAAUUCCUGGUGUAGCGGUGAAAUGCGUAGAUAUCAGGAGGAACACCUGUGGCGAAAGCGGCUCACUGGACCAUAACUGACGCUGAUGCACGAAAGCUAGGGGAGCAAACAGGAUUAGAUACCCUGGUAGUCCUAGCCCUAAACGAUGAUUGCUUGGUGUGUCGGGUACCCAAUCCCGACGUGCCGGAGCUAACGCGAUAAGCAAUCCGCCUGGGGAGUACGGUCGCAAGGCUGAA